AGCGGUGGGGGCGUGGUUUGGGCUCGAGCAGGCACCCAGAGCUCCAGGAGCCGCUCCGGCAACGGCCUGCACCUAACAGUCCUUGGGGAUCCCCAGGCUGGUGAGCGGGCUGUGACAGCCCCGACUGCCUCGCCAUGUGGGGCCCACUGGUCCUGAUGCUGCUGCUGCUCUCGUUCAGCCCCGUCCCCCCCGCCACUGCUGCUCCCAUCCCCCAUGCCAGCGCCCAGGACUCGCAGAACCUGCCCCAAGGGGCCAAAGGAGGCGACGGGGAGCCGUGGGCGGCGGGAAAGCCGGCCCCGCACUCGGGCUGCCCUCCGUCCUGAGGCGGCCGCGGGGCCCUGCCGCCCCGAAGCCCAGGGCCGGCCCGCGGCUCCCGGAGAAGCGUCCGUGGCUCCCGGCCAUCCGCCACCGGCUCCGCAGGGUCCGCGAGGCCGGGGGACCUGGGGCCUCCCGCGUCCCAAAGAGCCCGCCCCCAAGACCCGCCUCUCCCGCCCCGGGC